GUGCUCACUUUGACAGCACAUAUACUAAAACUGGAAUAAUACAGAGAAGAUUAAAAUGGUCCCUGCCCAAGAAUGACAUGCAAAUUCAUAGUUUUUGACAGUUUUCU
ensembl:snRNA U6 U6 spliceosomal RNA